rnacentral:rRNA from 1 species
GACGAACCGUCCAAACGUUAUUCGGUAUCACUAGGCUUAAAGCGUGCGUAGGCGGCCUGGUAGGUGAGAUGUGAAAGCCCACGGCUCAACCGUGGAAUUGCGUUUCAAACCACCAGGCUUGAGGAUGGCAGGGGUGAUGGGAACUGAUGGUGGAGCGGUGAAAUGCGUUGAUAUCAUCAGGAACACCGGUGGCGAAGGCGCAUCACUGGGCCAUUUCUGACGCUGAGGCACGAAAGCUAGGGUAGCGAACGGGAUUAGAUACCCCU